rnacentral:lncRNA from 1 species
GGAUGUGGGACUUUUGGAAAAUGUGGAGGAAGCAGGGCCUCAAAGCUUCCUGUCUGGACUUUUCUUCCUAGUUUCCCCACCCAGUCAUUGAAGCUGCCUCCUCUUACUCCUGAUUCUUCAGAAAUUUGAAUGUUAAGCAACCAGUUAAACCAACGUCAGUAUUAAUUUUUUCAAGCUGUCGAGGGGAGCCCUUAGAGGGGACAACUUCUCCUUGGAGUGGCGGCCAGGCUGGGCCUCACCAGGUGUGAUCAUGGUCUUAGAUACCAUGGAGUUCCCGUCUCCGCAGAGGCAGGCUCUUCCCAGCUUCAUGAGAGGUGGAGAAUUGCAACUUCUUCCUCCCCGGGAACAGUCUAUCUAGCUCCUGAGAGGAAUCUCAAAGAUCUUUCUUCUCAAGACAUCGAAGAAAAACUGAGAGGCUGUAGCUCGACCUAGUUUCUGUGAAGAAUUUUGUCAAGUGAUCCCUCUCUGACCCUGAGCCUCUUUAUUUGGAUUUUGUGCCUUGAGCACCAAGAGAAAUUGCACUCUGUGUUGCCUGGACAGCUGGGGUGGUGAUUCACAGGAAGGGUCCAAGCCAUCACUACACCUGACUCAAGCCGGAAAGAGCUCCCAGAGGACUUCCUGGAACUGCCAGCCUCAGCCUGAGAUGCGGGAUAUUCGUCCCCAAGGAGCGAGGAGGGACAGCUCGCCGUCUUUGCAGGUGAGGAAAAAUGCUGGCAGGUGGCGCAAGCAAGGACAUCUACGCAUAGAAUUCUGACAGCAGCUGGACCCUCAGCUUCUUCAGAAGACGAGACCCCCUGCCUAGGUGAUCUGGCCUGACACCCCUCUGGAGGCCUCCCACAAGCAUGCUGCAACCAAGCCAGAAAGAGCUGAGACCAGACCUGCUGUCCCUAAAGAUGGGCCCAGAAUGUCGGGGUGAAGCUGUAGGAACAGGGUGAAAGCUGGUGGUGUGGGCAAAGAGACCAGCUAUGGAGUGGUCAGGGGAUUCCGGGAGGUGCAUGGUUAUGUUGCAGACCCACCCAGGACAAGGGUGGCUGUGGAAGAAUGGCAAAUAAACACAUGGCAAAGUCUCAGAGGCUGUGCAUUAUGCCAUGAGAAAACAUCGACGGCCGAGUUAGGCAGACAAGCCAAGUGGUCUCCACAAGAGUAGGCGGGGAUCCGAAAUUCAGAGAACCUGCAGCUUUCUGGGCAUCCUCACUACACAGGAGGAUG